UACGGAGGGUGCGAGCGUUGUCCGGAAUCACUGGGCGUAAAGGGCGCGUAGGCGGCCUGAUAAGUAGGGGGUGAAAUCUUGCGGCUUAACCGCAAGGCUGCCUUCUAAACUGGCGGGCUUGAAUGCGGCAGAGGGGGGUGGAAUUCCGCGUGUAGCAGUGAAAUGCGUAGAUAUGCGGAGGAACACCGAUGGCGAAGGCAAUCCCCUGGGCCUGCACUGACGCUCAUGCACGAAAGCGUGGGGAGCAAACAGG
rnacentral:rRNA from 1 species